rnacentral:rRNA from 1 species
UACGAGGGGGGCAAGCGUUGUUCGGAAUUAUUGGGCGUAAAGGGCGCGUAGGCGGUUUGACAAGUCUGAUGUGAAAUCUAUGGGCUCAACCCAUAGCCUGCAUUAGAAACUGUCGGGCCUGAGUAUGGGAGAGGUGAGUGGAAUUUCCGGUGUAGCGGUGAAAUGCGUAGAUAUCGGAAGGAACACCUGUGGCGAAAGCGGCUCACUGGACCAUAACUGACGCUGAGGCGCGAAAGCUAGGGGAGCAAACAGG